AGAACGAACGCUGGCGGCAUGCCUAACACAUGCAAGUCGAACGAUGUCUUCGGACAUAGUGGCGCACGGGUGCGUAACGCGUGGGAAUCUGCCCUUGGGUUCGGAAUAACAGUGGGAAACUACUGCUAAUACCGGAUAAUAUCGCGAGAUCAAAGAUUUAUCGCCUGAGGAUGAGCCCGCGUAGGAUUAGCUAGUUGGUGGGGUAAUGGCCUACCAAGGCGACGAUCCUUAGCUGGUCUGAGAGGAUGAUCAGCCACACUGGGACUGAGACACGGCCCAGACUCCUACGGGAGGCAGCAGUGGGGAAUAUUGGACAAUGGGCGCAAGCCUGAUCCAGCAAUGCCGCGUGAGUGAUGAAGGCCUUAGGGUUGUAAAGCUCUUUUACCAGGGAUGAUAAUGACAGUACCUGGAGAAUAAGCUCCGGCUAACUCCGCGCCAGCAGCCGCGGUAA
rnacentral:rRNA from 1 species